CUUACAACUGCGCAUCAUAUCCUCAACAAGUACUAAUGAGUAUUCUUGCAACCACUGUCCAGAUCUGCAUCGCUUUCUGUCCAUAUCCUCUGCACUGGGAAUGGCACCGAAAGGAAGAAUUAUUUGAACUCUGACAUGUAAACCUUGUUUAGCGGCAGUGAUAUUCCAUGAAGAAUUUCUUCUAGGAAAGGAAAAAACAUUCCCUCCCCCCUUACCCCAAAGAAGGUAAGGAUUCAUGAUCCACCCUUCAGAUGGAUUGUUUGCAAACUAGCAGGUACAGUAACUGAAGCUAGUUGAAAAGAAACAUAUUAUUGGAAUAUUGCCACAGGCGCAGUGGCGGAGUGAGGACGCCGGUGGCCUUUGUCCAUUCCUUCACUGCCGGCCCCCACUGCCUAAGCCACAUCCCCUGUCUGAUGGCAAAUGCAGGGGGCGUGGCCUCAUUAACAAAAGGGGCUGCACACACCAUUUGCAAAUAAACUUCGGCUGGCACCAU